GUUCUAAGUGGACUCCUCCCAUGCUAAGCAGCUGCCCAAGUUAACUUUUAUUUGUGAGUAAUCCAUUGUGAGGCAUUGUAACUGAAGGGGCAGAACAGCAACUAGUGAGCAGAUCAGAGGGAUGGCUGUGUGAGUUUAGAACUCUGAAAUAAGACGCAGCUGUCUGGAUGCUUUGGAACUUAAAACACAGCUUCUUAUUUAUUGAUUCGCAUGACAUUAGUUGAUCAUUAAUACUAAAGCGUUGUUUAGUAUCUGCCUUGCAGAGAUUAUAGUUACAGGAUGUGUGUUUUUCAAUUGCCUAAGAGUAUAGGCAGCGCCGGGCGUGGUAGCGCACGCCUUUAAUCCCAGCACUUGGGAGGCAGAGGCAGGCGGAUUUCUGAGUUCGAGGCCAGCCUGGUCCUACAAAGUGAGUUCCAGGACAGCCAGGGCUACACAGAGAAACCCUGUCUCAAAAACAAAAACAAAAACAAAAACAAAGAGUAUAGGCAGCAAACACUACAAACAACUCAGACUUAAAACCCACACAUUAUAGUUAAUAUAUGGGAAAGAGAACCCUUGAAAGUCUGCAUGUAACUAUAAUCAUUCUGUUUUGUCUUUCAUAUACUUAGUGAGUUUCAAAGUAUUAUAUUUAAAAACAUUUAUUACUAUUGUUCAUUUAUUUGGAAUUUUUUUAGUUUUUCGGAGUAAUUGUUAUUACACUGCGUUAGUACAUAACUGCAUUUUCAGGUUUAUAUCUACCAAAGGACACAAAUUGAGUGGUUGACUGCACAACUGAUCUAAGCAGAAAGCAGUUUCCUGGCUAUCGAGACCCAAAUACCGAUAAAUGCAACUCAUUAUUCAUGAAACCUGUAAAAUGAGUGCUGGUUAGCAUAAAAAUGUCAUCAUGGCCUCUUCUGAAAGAAGUCUCCCUAGUGUUAAUACACAUUUUAUUUAUUCUGAGUUCUAAGUAAAAUAUUAUGAACUUUGAAGUUGAGAAGCUUUCCCUGGGCCAGGUGUGGUGGUCCAUGAAUUUGAUCUCAGCAUUUGGGAGGCUGAGGCAGGCAGAUCUCUGAGUUUGAAGUCUAUAUAGUGCCAGGACAGCCAAUGCUAGGUAGAGAGAGACCCUGUCUU
rnacentral:lncRNA from 1 species